UGAUCGCCAUUCUAACUGGUGUGAGAUUGUAUCUCACUGAGCCACACCUCUCUCUAAGUGGGCAAGGAAGUGGAGUUCUACCAUGAGUCCUGGAGAAGAACAGGACAUAUGAGUCGCUGUCUGAUAGACUGGUCACAGAUGGAAGAGUCAUUUGAGGGCUGAAAGCAAGUACUCUGUCCUGGAAAGUUGAUAUUCAGAAAGCCAACAAUCAACUCUAGCGCGUCUGAUGGAUGAGUUUCUGGAAAUGGAAAUACGACUGGACAAAUGACCUCUAAAGUUCUCCAUUUAAGUGGAAACAGGAAAAACCUGAACAUUUCCUGCGAUCUACAUGCCAGGCACGGUGUUACUUAGAUGAGGACACUGAGGUCUGCAGAGGAUAAACUGCCUUGCUCAAGAUUAUCCUGUGAGU